rnacentral:rRNA from 1 species
GACGAACGCUGGCGGCGUGCCUAAUACAUGCAAGUCGAGCGAGACUCUUCGGAGUCUAGCGGCGGACGGGUGAGUAACACGUGGGCAACCUGCCUGUAAGACUGGGAUAACACCGGGAAACCGGUGCUAAUACCGGAUAAUCCUUUUUCUCUCAUGAGGAAAAGCUGAAAGUCGGUUUCGGCUGACACUUACAGAUGGGCCCGCGGCGCAUUAGCUAGUUGGUGAGGUAACGGCUCACCAAGGCGACGAUGCGUAGCCGACCUGAGAGGGUGAUCGGCCACACUGGGACUGCGACACGGCCCAGACGCCUACGGGAGGCAGCAGUAGGGAAUCUUCCACAAUGGACGAAAGUCUGAUGGAGCAACGCCGCGUGAGCGAUGAAGGCCUUCGGGUCGUAAAGCUCUGUUGUUAGGGAGGAACAAGUACCGGAGUAACUGCCGGUACCUUGACGGUACCUAACCAGAAAGCCACGGCUAACUACGUGCCAGCCGCCGCAGUAA